rnacentral:rRNA from 1 species
CAUACCGGCUUGCCAGGGCCUGAUCUCAUCAGAUCUCAGAAACUAAGUAAGGCAAGGCCUAGUUAGUGCUUGGAUGGGAGACCGCUGGGAAUAUGAGGU